UACAGAGGUCUCAAGCGUUGUUCGGAUUCAUUGGGCGUAAAGGGUGCGUAGGCGGCGCUGUAAGUCGGGUGUGAAAUUUCGGAGCUUAACUCCGAAACUGCAUUCGAUACUGCCGUGCUUGAGGACUGGAGAGGAGACUGGAAUUUACGGUGUAGCAGUGAAAUGCGUAGAUAUCGUAAGGAAGACCAGUGGCGAAGGCGAAUCUCUGGACAGUUACUGACACUGAGGCACGAAGGCCAGGGGAGCAAACGGG
rnacentral:rRNA from 1 species